CGGGCGGUAGCUCAGCUUGGUAGAGCGCUCGGUUUGGGACCGAGAGGUCCGCAGGUUCAAGUCCUGUCCGCCCGA
rnacentral:tRNA from 1 species